AGGGUUUGGAAAGCUUGCUUUCCGAAACCUAGUGGCGGACGGGUGAGUAACGCGUGAGUAACCUGCCUUUCAGAGGGGGACAACAGUUGGAAACGACUGCUAAUACCGCAUGACGCAUAGAGGUCACAUGAUCUUUAUGCCAAAGAUUUAUCGCUUCAAGAUGGCCUCGCGUCUGAUUAGCUGGUUGGCGGGGUAACGGCCCACCAAGGCGACGAUCAGUAGCCGGACUGAGAGGUUGAACGGCCACAUUGGGACUGAGAUACGGCCCAGACUCC
rnacentral:rRNA from 1 species